rnacentral:rRNA from 1 species
GCUCAGAAACUUAAAGGAAGUUGACGGGGCCCGGCACAAGCGGUGGAGUAUGUGGUUUAAUUCGAUGCAACGCGAAGAACCUUACCUGGUCUUGACAUCCCGGAGACCCUUAGGAAACUAGGGGGUGCUUCCAUCUGGAAGAAUCUGGAGACAGGUGCUGCAUGGCUGUCGUCAGCUCGUGUCGUGAGAUGUUGGGUUAAGUCCCGCAACGAGCGCAACCCUUGCCUUUAGUUGCCAGCAGUUCGGCUGGGCACUCUAAAGGGACUGCCGGUGUUAAACCGGAGGAAGGUGGGGAUGACGUCAAGUCCUCAUGGCCUUUAUGACCAGGGCUACGCACGUACUACAAUGGCCGAUACAAAGGGCAGCGACACUGCGAGGUGAAGCCAAUCCCGUAAAAUCGGUCUCAGUCCGGAUUGGAGUCUGCAACUCGACUCCAUGAAGUUGGAAUCGCUAGUAAUCGUGGAUCAGCAUGCCACGGUGAAUACGUUCCCGGGCCCU